rnacentral:rRNA from 1 species
UACGAAGGGGACUAGCGUUGUUCGGAAUUACUGGGCGUAAAGCGCACGUAGGCGGCUUUGUUAGUCAGGGGUGAAAUCCCGGGGCUCAACCUCGGAACUGCCUUUGAUACUGCAAGUCUCGAGUCCGAUAGAGGUGGGUGGAAUUCCUAGUGUAGAGGUGAAAUUCGUAGAUAUUAGGAGGAACACCGGUGGCGAAGGCGGCCCACUGGAUCGGUACUGACGCUGAGGUGCGAAAGCGUGGGGAGCAAACAGG